rnacentral:rRNA from 1 species
GACGAACGCUGGCGGCGUGCUUAACACAUGCAAGUCGAACGGAAAGGCCCUGCUUGCAGGGUGCUCGAGUGGCGAACGGGUGAGUAACACGUGGGUGAUCUGCCCCUUACUUUGGGAUAAGCCUCGGAAACUGGGUCUAAUACUGGAUAGGACCAUGCUGUAGGUGGUGUGGUGGAAAGAUUAGUUUCGGUAAGGGAUGAGCUCGCGGCCUAUCAGCUUGUUGGUGGGGUAAUGGCCUACCAAGGCGUCGACGGGUAGCCGGCCUGAGAGGGUGGACGGCCACAUUGGGACUGAGAUACGGCCCAGACUCCUACGGGAGGCAGCAGUGGGGAAUAUUGCACAAUGGGCGCAAGCCUGAUGCAGCGACGCCGCGUGGGGGAUGACGGCCUUCGGGUUGUAAACUCCUUUCAGCCAUGACGAAGCCCUUGUGGUGACGGUAGUGGUAGAAGAAGCACCGGCUAACUACGUG